rnacentral:rRNA from 1 species
UGGGGUAUAUUGGACAAUGGGCGAAAGCCUGAUCCAGCCACGCCGCGUGUGUGAAGAAGGUCUUCGUAUAGUACCGCACUUUAAGUUGGGAGGAAGGGCAGUAAGCGAAUACCUUCCUGUUUUGACGUUACCGACAGAAUAAGCACCGGCUAACUCUGUGCCAGCAGCCGCGGUAAUACAGAGGGUGCAAGCGUUAAUCGGAAUUACUGGGCGUAAAGCGCGCGUAGGUGGUUCGUUAAGUUGAAUGUGAAAGCCCCGGGCUCAACCUGGGAAGUGCAUCAAAAACUGGCGAGCUAGAGUAGGGCAGAGGGUGGUGGAAUUUCCUCUGUAGCGGUGAAGUGCGUAGAUAUAGGAAGGAACAACAGUGGCGAAGGCGACCACCUGGGCUCAUACUGACGCUGAGGUGCGAAGGAGUAGGGGGCAAACAGG